AUUGAACGCUGGCGGCAGGCCUAACACAUGCAAGUCGAGCGGAUGAAGGGAGCUUGCUCCUGGAUUCAGCGGCGGACGGGUGAGUAAUGCCUAGGAAUCUGCCUGGUAGUGGGGGAUAACGUCCGGAAACGGGCGCUAAUACCGCAUACGUCCUGAGGGAGAAAGUGGGGGAUCUUCGGACCUCACGCUAUCAGAUGAGCCUAGGUCGGAUUAGCUAGUUGGUUGGGGUAAAGGCCUACCAAGGCGACGAUCCGUAACUGGUCUGAGAGGAUGAUCAGUCACACUGGAACUGAGACACGGUCCAGACUCCUACGGGAGGCAGCAGUGGGGAAUAUUGGACAAUGGGCGAAAGCCUGAUCCAGCCAUGCCGCGUGUGUGAAGAAGGUCUUCGGAUUGUAAAGCACCUUAAGUUGGGAGGAAGGGCAGUAAGUUAAUACCUUGCUGUUUUGACGUUACCAACAGAAUAAGCACCGGCUAACUUCGUG
rnacentral:rRNA from 1 species